UACGUAGGGUGCAAGCGUUAAUCGGAAUUACUGGGCGUAAGGCGUGCGCAGGCGGCUUUGCAAGACAGAUGUGAAAUCCCCGGGCUUAACCUGGGAACUGCAUUUGUGACUGCAUGGCUGGAGUGCGGCAGAGGGGGAUGGAAUUCCGCGUGUAGCAGUGAAAUGCGUAGAUAUGCGGAGGAACACCGAUGGCGAAGGCAAUCCCCUGGGCCUGCACUGACGCUCAUGCACGAAAGCGUGGGGAGCAAACAGG
rnacentral:rRNA from 1 species